UGGGGAAUAUUGCGCAAUGGGGGGAACCCUGACGCAGCCAUGCCGCGUGAAUGAAGAAGGCCUUAGGGUUGUAAAGUUCUUUCGGUAUUGAGGAAGGUUGAUGUGUUAAUAGCACAUCAAAUUGACGUUAAAUACAGAAGAAGCACCGGCUAACUCCGUGCCAGCAGCCGCGGUAAUACGGAGGGUGCGAGCGUUAAUCGGAAUAACUGGGCGUAAAGGGCACGCAGGCGGUUAUUUAAGUGAGGUGUGAAAGCCCCGGGCUUAACCUGGGAAUUGCAUUUCAGACUGGGUAACUAGAGUACUUUAGGGGGGGGUAGAAUUCCACGUGUAGCGGUGAAAUGCGUAGAGAUGUGGAGGAAUACCGAAGGCGAAGGCAGCCCCUUGGGAAUGUACUGACGCUCAUGUGCGAAAGCGUGGGGAGCAAACAGGAUUAGAUACCCUGGUAGUCCACGCUGUAAACGCUGUCGAUUUGGGGGUUGGGGUUUAACUCUGGCGCCCGUAGCUAACGUGAUAAAUCGACCGCCUGGGGAGUACGGCCGCAAGGUUA
rnacentral:rRNA from 1 species